AUGGGAAGCGGUGAGUGGGACAACUGCCCAGCAGAGCUGAUCACUGAGCUGGAGGGGCUGCUGCUGCUGGGUGCCUUUUGUAGCUCCGAUGCACAACUAAAGAGCACUGCCAGCAAAUGCAGCUGCCAAAUCAGCACUGCCUGCAUGGAGCCUCGCUAUCACUGCAGAGAAAGACUGCGAGCACAAAGGAAAACCUAUAGCUCCAGGCUGACAUACAGCAGCACGAGCACCGACCCGCCCCCAGCUGCUGCGAGCCGCCGUCGGUACAGCCCUUUCCGCCGUCGGAACGCAUGCGUGCAAGGAGACGGAGCGUUACUUACCCGAACAAUAACACGUGGUGAGAAGUCAAGCCCCAAGGAAUUGUUAAGAAGAAAUAUGUUACUUCUGGGUUAUAAACAACAAGAAAACGAGUGGAAGUGUGAUAAACUAAGAGCUCUGUUUGCUAAUCCCCCACUAAGGAUUAAGAAAAUUGGGAGAAGGGGGAAAGAUGCAGUCAGAAAAUGUACUUCAGCAAUGCAUGUUAGUUGCUUUUUGUAUAUAGAUAAUCUUAAGUUGAGAGCCAUAACCUGUGAUAGAUGUUGCAGAACUAGAGAUGAUAAACUCUGGUGAAAACAUGAAUACACUUUUGACAAACCAUUUGGGUGUAAACUAAUUGCUUACACAUUGCACUUUGAAGCUGGAUGCUGUGGAUGAACCUUUGUUCAUCUAAGUAUCUUCUAAACCUUUCUCUGAAUUGGUCCUGUAUUAAAUAUUGGUGUUAAAUCUCUUCUGUUGUUUGCAAUUGUUAAGCUCCUAAAUUGCUUUGCUACAGGUCCCUCCGUGUACAACUUCAUCUUUUACUGCGUAACUUCAUGUUUUACUGUGUAUUUUUAUUCUAUUUGCUUUUUCCAAACCUCAGAAGUAUUUCAGUUUGUG
rnacentral:lncRNA from 1 species